rnacentral:rRNA from 1 species
GUCCUCUUGAUUUUAUAUGAGGUCGUACCUGCCCAUUGAUUUAUUUUAACGGCCGCGGUAUUUUGACCGUGCAAAGGUAGCAUAAUCAUUAGUCUUUUAAUAGAAGGCUGGAAUGAACGGUUUGACGAGGCAUUAACUGUCUCAUUAUAAUGCUUUGAACUUAGCUUUUAAGUCAAAAGGCUUAGAUUUAUUUGGAAGACGAGAAGACCCUAUAGAGCUUUAAGAUUAAAAUAUUAUUUAUUCUUUACUGCAUUAUGGUUUUUAUUACUUUAAUCUUUUUGUUGGGGUGACGAAAAAAUAUACAUAACUUUUAUUAUUUAUUAACCACUAAUGUGUGAUUUUUAGAUCCAGUAUUAUUGAUUAUUAGAAUAAGUUACCUUAGGGAUAACAGCGUAAUCUUCCUCCAGAGUUCAAAUUUACAGGAAGGCUUGCGACCUCGAUGUUGGAUUAAGAUAAUAAUUGGGUGUAGAAGCCUAAUUGAUGGGUCUGUUCGACCCUUAAAUUCUUACAUGAUCUGAGUUCAGACCGG